rnacentral:rRNA from 1 species
CACAUGCAAGUCGAACGCUGAAGCUCCCAGCUUGCUGGGGUGGAUGAGUGGCGAACGGGUGAGUAUCACGUGAGUAACCUGCCCUUGACUCUGGGAGUAAGCCCGGGAAACUGGGUCUAAUACUGGAUAGGACUGGCCAUCGCAUGGUGGUUGGUUGAAAGCUUUUUGCGGUUUUUGGAUGGACUCGCGGCCUAUCAGCUUGUUGUGGGGUAAUGGCCUACCAAGGCUUUGACGGGUAGCCGGCCUGAGAGGGUGACCGGCCACACUGGGACUGAGACACGGCCCAGACUCCUACGGGAGGCAGCAGUGGGGGAUAUUGCACAAUGGGCGCAAGCCUGAAUGCAGCGACGCCGCGUGAGGGAUGACGGCCUUCGGGUUGUAAACCUCUUUCAGUUGGGAAGAAGCCUUUCGGGGUGACGGUACCUUCAGAAGAAGCACCGGCUAACUACGUGCCAGCAGCGGC